GGUAUGAAUUACUAGUUGCUGGUAUUUGACAAGUAUGGAGCUUUCAGGAUCUUUGUCUCCUUUUGUUGCCAAUAUGACAGCUCUGACUAAUAUCUGGCUUGGAAAUAACAGUUUGUCAGGGCACAUUCCUGACCUAGGUUCACUAACACUGUUAGAAACAUUGUAAGUAACUCAUUUUGUAUGCAAUUCCAUGAUCUAAAUGUUUGAAAUCAGAGAACUUUGAUGUA